rnacentral:misc_RNA from 1 species
GAUGAAGAACGCAGCGAAAUGCGAUACGUAAUGUGAAUUGCAGAAUUCAGUGAAUCAUCGAAUCUUUGAACGCAUAUUGCGCUCUCUGGUAUUCCGGAGAGCAUGCUUGUUUGAGUAUCAGUAAACACCUCAACUUCCAUAUCUUUUUUGAAAUGGGAGUUGGACUUGAGUGAUCCCAACGCUUUUCCUCACCGAAAAGUGGCGGGUUACUUGAAAUGCAGGUGCAGCUGGACUUUUCUCUGAGCUAUAAGCAUAUCUAUUUAGUCUGCCUAAAAACAGAUUAUUACCUUUGCUGCAGCUAACAUAAAGGAGAUUAGUUCUUGUGCUGACUGAUGCAGGAUUCACAAAGACAGGCUUCGGCCGACUUUGUAAACUCGAUCUCAAAUCAAGUAGGACUACCCGCUGAACUUAAGCAUAUCAAUAAGCGGAGGA